UUACGGCCAUAUCAUAUUGAGACACCGUACGAUCACUGAAAUUAAGCAAAGUUGAGCCUGGUCAGUACCUAGAUGGGUGACCGCUUUGGAAUAUUAGGUACUGUAA